UGCGACCUGGCCAAGAUAAAGCAAAGCAGUGCGACAAAAACAACAACACAGAGUUACACAUAAACAAACGUACAGUCAAUAACACAACCCUUCCUGCAGGCUCAUCCUGACGUGACCCUCCAGCAUGACAAUGCCACCAGCCAUACUGCUUGUUCUGUGCGUGACUUCCUGCAAGGCAGGAAUGUCAGUGUUCUGCCAUGGCCAGCAAAGAGUCCGGAUCUCAUUCCCAUUGAGCGCGUCAGGGACCUGUUGGAUCGGAGGGUGAGGGCUAGGGCCAUUCCCCAGAGAAAUGUCUGGGAACUUGCAGGUGCCUUGGUGGAAGAGUGGGGUAACAUCACAUAGCAAGAACUGGCAAAUCUGGUGCAGUCCAUGAGGAGGAGAUGCACUGUAGUACUUAAUGCAGCUGGUGGCCACACCAGAUACUGACUGUUACUUUUGUUUUUGACCCCCCCUUUGUUCAGGGACACAUUAUUCCAUUUCUGUUGGUCACAUGUCUGUGGAACGUGUUCAGUUUAUGUCUCAGUUGUUGAAUCUUAUGUUCAUAGAAAUAUUUACACAUGUUAAGUUUGCUGAAAAUAAACGCAGUUGACAGUGAGAGGAGCUUUCCUUUUUUCUGAGUUUAUUUAAUGAAGCUGCCAGUUGAGGACUUGUGAAGCGUCUGUUUCUCAGACUAGACACUCUAAUGUACUUGUCCUCUUGCUCAGUUGUGCACCGGGGCCCCCCACUCUCCUUUUUAUUCUGGUUAGAGCCAGUUUGCACUGUUCUGUGAAGGGAGUAGUACACUGCGUUGUAUGAGACCUCCAGUUUCUUGGCAAUUUCUCGCAUGGAAUAGCCUUAAUUUCUCAGAACAAGAAUAGACUGAUGAGUUUCAGAAGAAAGGUCUUUGUUUCUGGCCAUUUUGAGCCUGUAAUCGAACCCACAAAUGCUGAUGCUCCAGAUACUCAACUAGUCUAAAGAAGGAUAGUUGUAUUGCUUCUUUAAUCAGAACAACAGUUUUCAGCUGUGCUAACAUAAUUGUGAAAGGGUUUUCUAAUGAUCAAUUAGCCUUUUAAAACGAUAAACUUGGAUUAGCUAACACAAUGUGCCAUUGGAACACAUCAGUGAUGGUUGCUGAUAAUGGGCCUCUGUAUGCCCAUGUAGAUAUUCCAUAAAGAAUCAGCCGUUUCCAGCUACAAUAGUCAUUUACAACAUUAACAAUGUCUACACUGUAUUUCUGUUCAAUUUGAUGUUAUUUUAAUGGACAAACAAAUGUGCUUUUCUUUAAAAAAAACAAGGACAUUUCUCAGUGACCAAAGCUUUUGAACAAUAGUGUACCUGCACCAUAUGACUUGUAAGUAAGCCCUCCAUUCAGAUACACGCAUCACUACAAUGUGGAACUGCAUUGGCACUAAGGUGAAGAACCAAAUAUUGGAGAAUGUCAAACAAGCAGUACAGAAUAGUUGGCAUAUAAACAAAAACAAUAUAUUGUUUACAAUAAAAGUACUGUUUACUGAACACAUCCAAAUAUUGAAUAAUCUGCAAAACAUUAUUAGAAUUGUUUAUUUUAUUUGCAACCAUAAUUAUUAUCAAAAGAAUAUAGUCUAAAUUCACUCAUUGAAAACUUUAUUUUGUACUACUUAUAAAAAAUACCCAGUUUUACAAAAGUAAAUCUAUGCUUACUAGUUGGAGAGAGUCCAUCUCAUAACAGUCAUCAGCUUUAUUCAGUCUUUUCAGUUGUUUUGUGAUUCUAUAGUUCCAUAGAAUGUUCUAGAUUGUUCAAACAGUGAUUCUGAAUUCCAUUUCAGCUGAUCAGGAGCUGAAUUUUUAAUCCAUUCAAAAAAAGCAUGUGGUCCCUUCUCCAAGAGACAGCAUUAGAAUAUCAUUGACAUAGUGCCUUUAUGUACAAAAACAAUGUACAAAUCUAUAUAAAACAAUCUAACGUUAGCCUCUACAUCUCACUAUAUCUGUUGUAAAUAAAUAUUUGGUUGUCUGACUUCAUAAUGUAGGAAAUAGUUGAAUCCACGGUAAAGGCAUGUUAGGUGUUCUUUGACUCUAUCUAGCUACCAGAGAGACAUGCACCUAUGCUGGUGUUUGGAAAGGCCUCACUAGUUGAGUAACCCAAAUGGUACCCUAUUCCCUAUGUAGUGCACUACUUUGGCCAGGGCCCUAUUCCCUAUAUAGUGCACUACUUUAGACCAGAACCCUAUUCCCUAUGUAGUGCACUACUUUAGGCCAGGGCCCUAUUCCCUAUAUAGUACACUACUAUAGACCAGGGCUCGAGCUCUGCUCAAAAGUAAUGCAGUAUAUAUGAAAUAGGGGGCCAUUUUUAGUGGCUCUCAGUGACUUGUGAUGUAAAUACCAGCACAUGCCUAUAAUAGACAAUACCAACGUCUAGUCAGAUGGAUAGCUACCAAGCCUUCAUUGGUUGUCUGUGAUGAGACAGAGGUACAGUGGGAGGAGCCUCUUACAUAUCCUGCCUUGUGAUGUAAAAACACUAUGCUUGGUCACCAUAGACUAUGGUUGUGUCACAAAUGUCAUCAUAUUCCCUUUAUAGUGCACUACAUUUGGCUAGGGCCCAUAGGGCUGUGGUCCAAAGUAGUGCACUACAUUUGGCUAGGGCCCAUAGGAUUGUGGUCCAAAGUAGUGCACUACAUUUGGCUAGGGUCCAUAGGACUGUGGUCCAAAGUAGUGCACUACAUUAGGGAUAGGGCACCAUCUGGGACACAGCUUGUAUAUAAUGUCUGUCAGGCUAGGAGGUGAAGGUGAUCCCAUGAUGUAGUAAUCCUCCUCUCAGAGCCAUCCUCCCCUCCUCUCAGAUCGAGACAGGUCCUCCUCUCAGAGCCAUCCUCCCCUCCUCUCAGAUCGAGACAGGUCCUCCUCUCAGAUCGAGACAGGUCCUCCUCUCAGAUCGUGGCAGGUCCUCCUCUCAGAUCGAGACAGGUCCCUCCUCUCAGAUCGUGACAGGUCCUCCUCUCAGAUCGAGACAGGUCCUCCUCUCAGAUCGUGACAGGUCCUCCUCUCAGAUCGUGACAGGUCCUCCUCUCAGAUCGUGAGACAGGUCCUCCUCUCAGAUCGUGACAGGUCCUCCUCUCAGAUCGAGACAGAUCCUCCUCUCAGAUAGUGACAGGUCCUCCUCUCAGAUCGUGACAGGUCCUCCUCUCAGAUCGUGACAGGUCCUCCUCUCAGAUCGUGACAGGUCCUCCUCUCAGAUCGUGGGUGCUGUUACACUUGGCGGAUGCAGAAGUAGCAACACAAAUUCAACUACAACACUUAAAUGCAAGAUAUCCACAGGAAAAAAAAACUAGGCUAUAGCCUUAGAAGCAAAUUGCUCAAAUUGCUUGUUUUUUGUUCGUGAUGUUGACCAUUCCUUUCCAAGCCCUGAAUGUAUGAAAUAUAGCUUACUUUCUUUUUUCAACAUUAAAAGAAAGUCCAUCAAUAUGUAUAUUUUAUGGAUCAACAAUCUCAAAUAAACAGAUGUAUGUUAUGCACCUCUACAUCACAACAUCUGGCUUUGGAAUAAAAUCUCUCUCUAUAGCAGCCAAGGCAAUAUGUAUAUAUGUAUACAUGAUGUUCAUAUACAAUAAGUAACAAGAAAAUAGUUAAGGACAUAGACACUGUAACAUAUAGCCAUGUCGUACAGAGAGGAGAGGAGGAAGAGGAGGAAGAGGAAGGUGAAGGAGGAGAGGAGGAGGAGGAGGAUGAGAGGGGGACGUGAAGGUGGGAGGAGGAGGAAGAGGGGGACGUGAAGGUGGGAGGAGGAGGUUCUUAGGUAAUGGUAUAAAACUAUUCAGAACUGGGGUGGAAGGAGUUAGGAUAUAGCAUGUGUCUGACCUCCUCAGUAAGAGGAAAAGUUUCUGCUCAACCCAGUAGAGGCAGUAGUCUACUGAGGUCCUGUGUUAGUCCCACUGAGGCAGUAGUCUACUGAGGUCCUGUGUUAGUCCCACUGAGGCAGUAGUCUACUGAGGUCCUCUGUUAGUUCCACAGAGGCAGUAGUCUACUGAGGUCCUGUGUUAGUCCCACUGAGGCAGUAGUCUACUGAGGUCCUCUGUUAGUUCCACAGAGGCAGUAGUCUACUGAGGUCCUGUGUUAGUCCCACUGAGGCAGUAGUCUACUGAGGUCCUGUGUUAGUUCCACUGAGGCAGUAGUCUACUGAGGUCCUCUGUUAGUUCCACUGAGGCAGUAGUCUACUGAGGUCCUGUGUUAGUCCCACUGAGGCAGUAGUCUACUGAGGUCCUGUGUUAGUCCCACUGAGUCAGUAGUCUACUGAGGUCCUGUGUUAGUCCCACUGAGGCAGUAGUCUACUGAGUGUUAGUCCCACUGAGGCAGUAGUCUACUGAGGUCCUGUGUUAGUCCCACGGAGGCAGUAGUCUACUGAGGUCCUGUGUUAGUCCCACUGAGGCAGUAGUCUACUGAGGUCCUGUGUUAGUCCCACUGAGGCAGUAGUCUACUGAGGUCCUCUGUUAGUCCCACUGAGGCAGUAGUCUACUGAAGUCCUCUGUUAGUUCCACUGAGGCAGUAGUCUACUGAAGUCCUGUGUUAGUUCCACUGAGGCAGUAGUCUACUGAGGUCCUCUGUUAGUCCCACUGAGGCAGUAGUCUACUGAGGUCCUCUGUUAGUCCAGAUCUGUCAAGAAACCCAUCCGGAGUUCCUAAGUCUUUCAAUAAGUUGUUUUGUCCCUCUUUAAGUUACUAGCUCAAUCUGCAAUAGGUCCUGUUUUAUUGUGUUCAAACAGGCAAGAAACCCUGAUGAUGAGGUUGGUGAUGGUGAUGAUGAUGAUGAAGAUGAGACUAGUGAGUUGUUUAUUCUCCAGGGUGCUUCAGCAUUCUCCAGAGUGCUUCAGUAUUCUCCAGAGUGCUUCAGCAUUCUCCAGGGUGCUUCAGUAUUCUCCAGAGUGCUUCAGUAUUCUCCAGAGUGCUUCAGCAUUCUCCAGGGUGCUUCAGUAUUCUCCAGCGUGCUUCAGCAUUCUCCAGGGUGCUUCAGUAUUCUCCAGAGUGCUUCAGCAUUCUCCAGAGUGCUUCAGCAUUAUCCAUGGUGCUUCAGUAUUCUCCAGCGUGCUUCAGCAUUCUCCAGGGUGCUUCAGUAUUCUCCAGAGUGCUUCAGUAUUCUACAGGGUGCUUCAAUAUUCUCCAGAGUGCUUCAGCGUUCUCCAGGGUGCUUCAAUAUUCUCCAGAGUGCUUCAGCGUUCUCCAGGGUGCUUCAGCAUUCUCCAGAGUGCUUCACUAUUCUCCAUAGUGCUUCACUAUUCUCCAGAGUGCUUCACUAUUCUCCAGAGUGCUUCAGCAUUCUACAGGAUGCUUCACUAUUCUCCAGAGUGCUUCACUAUUCUCCAGAGUGCUUCAGCAUUCUCCAGGGUUCUUCAGUAUCCUACAGGGUUCUUCAGUAUCCUACAGAGUGCUUCAGUAUUCUACAGAGUGCUUCAGCAUUCUCCAGGGCGCUUCAGCAUUCUCCAUAGUGCUUCAGCAUUCUCCAGAGUGCUUCAGCGUUCUCCAGGGUGCUUCAGCAUUCUCCAUAGUACUUCAGCAUUCUCCAGGGUGCUUCAGUAUUCUACAGGGUGCUUCAAUAUUCUCCAGAGUGCUUCAGUAUUCUCCAGGGUGCUUCAGUAUUCUCCAGGGUGCUUCAGCAUUCUCCAGGGUUCUUCAGCAUUCUCCAGAGUGCUUCAGCAUUCUCCAGAGUGCUUCAGUAUUCUACAGGGUGCUUCAGUAUUCUACAAGGUGCUUCAGUAUUCUACAGAGUGCUUCAGGCUUCCAAUAGGAGGUCCAACAGUCCUUUCCUGAAAAGGUUAAUCAACCAACCAUCUCAUCUCCAUGUAGAUAGGUGACAGUAAUCACUAGGUGGCUUUGCUGCAGAAAGGUUAUUCUGUGUGUGUGUGUGCUUGUGUCUGCGUGUGUCUGUGGGUGAAGGCUGAAGAAAUGUUGCUUGGCCUCUACGACCCUCCCGAACUUCUACAGACGCACCACUGAGAGUAUCCUGUGAGGCUGAAUCACCGCCUGUUAUGACAACUGCACCGCCCGCAGCCACUUGAGCCACGUCCUGUUCACCCCGCUACCAUCUAGAAGGUAAUUAAGGACCUCAGCCACCAGAGCCACGUCCUGUUCACCCUGCUACCAUCUAGAAGGUCAUUAAGGACCUCAGCCACCUGAGCCACGACCUGUUCACCCCGCUACCAUCUAGAAGGUCAUCAAGGACCUCAGCCAACUGAGCCACGGCCUGUUCACCCCGCUACCAUCCAGAAGGUCAUUAAGGACCUCAGCCACCUGAGCCACGACCUGUUCACCCAGCUACCAUCUAGAAGGUCAUCAAGGACAUCAGCCACCUGAGCCACGUCCUGUUCACCCCGCUACCAUCUAGAAGGUCAUCAAGGACCUUAGCCACCUGAGCCACGACCUGUUCACCCAGCUACCAUCUAGAAGGUCAUCAAGGACCUCGGCCACCUGAGCCACGACCUGUUCACCAAGCUACCAUCCAGAAGGUCAUUAAGGACCUCAGCCACCUGAGCCAUGGCCUGUUCACCCCGCUACCAUCUAGAAGGCGGAGACAGUACAGGUGCAUCAAAGCCGGCCUCCACCCAGUACCCUGCCCUGAACCGUAUUGACUGUUACUAGCCAGCUACGACUCAGUAGCCUGCCCUGAACGUUAGUGACUGUUACUAGCCAGCUACCACUUAGUACCCUGCCCUGAACCUUAGUCACUGUUACUAGUCAGCUACCACUCAGUACCCUGCCCCGAACCAUAGUCAUUGUCACUAGCCAGCUCCCACUCAGUACCCUGGCCUGAACCUUAAUGACUGUUACUAGCCGGACUCCACACAGUACCUUGCCCUGAACCUUAGUGACUGUUACUAGCCAGCUACCAAUCGGUACCCUGCCCUGAACCUUAGUGACUGUUACUAGCCGGCCUCCACCCAGUACCCUGCCCUGAACCUUAGUGACUGUUACUAGCCAGCUACCACUUAGUACCCUGCCCUGAACCUUAGUGACUGUUACUAGCAAGCUACCAAGCAGUACCCUGCCCUGAACCUUAGUGACUGUUACUAGCCAGCUACCACUUAGUACCCUGCCCUGAACCCUAGUCACUGUUACUAGCCAGCUACCACUCAGUACCCUGCCCUGAACCUUAGUGACUGUUACUAGCCGGACUCCACUCAGUACCCUGCCCUGAACCUUAGUGACUGUUACUAGCCUCCCCAGUACCCUGCCCUGAACCUUAGUGACUGUUACUAGCCUCCCCAGUACCCUGCCCUGAACCUUAGUGACUGUUGCUAGCCUCCCCCAGUACCCUGCCCUGAACCUUAGUGACUGUUACUAGCCUCCCC
ensembl:lncRNA